UACGUAGGGGGCUAGCGUUGUCCGGAAUCAUUGGGCGUAAAGGGCGUGCAGGCGGUUUGUUUAGUCUAGGGUGAAAGCUCCCGGCUUAACUGGGAGAGGUCCUUGGAUACUGGCAAACUUGAGGGAGGCAGAGGAAAGUGGAAUUCCCGGUGUAGUGGUGAUAUGCGUAGAUAUCGGGAGGAACACCAGUGGCGAAGGCGGCUUUCUGGGCCUUACCUGACGCUGAGACGCGAAAGCGUGGGGAGCGAACCGG
rnacentral:rRNA from 1 species